GGACUCGCGAGGCGGCGAAGCCAACCGGAGUGCAGCCCUGCAGCCUUUGGAAAAAGUAAUUAGCGCUGCGGACAAACCCAACAUGGCCCCUACUCACCCCUCAUCACAGGAUCCAGACUUCAUCACAGGGCUGAAUUACCAGAAAGCAUCCAGAGACGAGGUAAACACUGGAGGAAGAAGAAGCAAUCAGCUCUCUACGGGAUGAAUGCUAAUGAAGGCAGGACCGCUCCAAGAGACAAAAUCCUUGGAGAGACCAGAAGCCCAUACCUGCCAAGGAUUCCAAAUGAACAAGGAAGAUAAGGAAGACCAGUAUGGAACAUGUUUGGGGGAAUCUUCCUACCAUCAAAGUGGGAAUGGGACCUAAGAGGAAUGCCCAGCCCGAAGCUAUGCUGGCCCAAGAACUCAUAGCUUUUGUCUCGAGUCCUGCAGCAGUUGCUAUGCACUGAAGACAAGAGCCAGGGAACAAGUGAGUUCUUGAGUGGCCCCAGUAGAGCCUUUCAGCGUGUCUCUAGGUCCGUCUGUUUUGUAGCCUCAUUUUCUUUUAUUUAUCACAUUUGGUGGGUUUUGUCCUGUGUCUACCCCCUCCCUUUCUCUCACUUCCUUAAAAGGAGUUCAAGACUCACCUGGUGGAUGGUUUUAUUGGCAAGAACAAGGUUUGGACAACUUGGCCAGAGGCUUUCUGAUUGGAUCUGAAAGAAUCCACGCCUGACACACUAAAACCCAUAAAACCCACCCAUGGUUGGUGUGGGCAUGGGGCCUAUCGGUUAACUUACUGCUGUUACUCAGUAAAAUCUAUGGCGUGGUAUUAGACUGCCUUGCAAACAUUUAUGUUUAUACUAAUAGGCAGAGACCACUCCGCUUACUCAGAGAAACCUUUCUGCAAUUCACUUACUGCAGUUAAUGCAACAACCAUGACUGCUCAGAGUGUGGAGGGCAAGGGAGCAUUCAGGAGACUCCACCCCUCACUCUAAGGCUCAGGGAAUGUGGAGGGACAGGAUUCAGAAAGGAAGGAGCUUGAAGACAAGGGGAAAGAGCUGUAGAGGCCGUGUUCUGGUCUUGACUCAGCCAUGACAAUCGUCCCCACCCAUGGGCAGUUGUCUGCUCUGGGUCUGUGCAAGGCUAGGCCUGUCAGUCAGUUGAGAAUGGAAGAGGGACUCGUGGGGCCCUAUCCCUCCUAGCUGAUCUACUUACUACCUACUGAUGGAUUCAAGAGAAUCCUUCCUAGCUGAACUACUGGCUACUGAAUCAGAACAAGAGGAGUUGGUGUGGUCUUUAGUUUCCAUCUACUGAGGAGCCCUGCAGACUCCAUUGGGCAGCUUUGAACUUGUAGGUAUAAGACAUCUCUGGGAAAACACAGUGAGCCAUAAAAACAAAGCAGAGAGUCGUGAAUGAGGGUAAGGGGGGAGUGGAAGUAGGUUGUGGGUGGGGCUAGCAAGAGAUGAGAGUGGGUGGGGUGAGGGUAAUUGGAAUGCAUUAAUAUACAUGCCUGAAAAUGUCAAAGAGCAAAUUUAAUUGAUUAAAAAACUGUGCAAUAAAAUAAAAGCAACAGGCAGUAGGACACAGCGAGACAGCAGUUUCGCACUGCCUCACGGGGACUCAGGAUUGCUCAGUAUGAACUUUGAGAGACAGGCUGGGUUAUCUGCCAGUCCUGGUUACAGGACAGAGCAGUGGCAGUGACAGACGGAAGCCAGUACAUGAGCAGAUGGACGAGCACAUUGAAACUUCAGUCCCUUAGCAUACACCACCAGUUCUGGGGUCUGGCUAACGCAGAGAGGGACUUUGGUUACACUGUUUUAUCACAGCAAUACUAAUCCUACGAAAGGUAUCUUUGCAGAAACAAUAUUUUAAUGAAGUCCAGGGAACCUCCCCUCCUCCCCAAAAGUUUAUAGUCUUGCUGAACAUAGUGGUACAUACCUUGUCAACUCUAUCACUCUGUAAGCCGAGAUAAGGAAAAUUAAUUGAAGGCCAGCCUGGGCUACAUAAUGAGACCCUUUGUCCAAAAGGCAAAGGCUGGUGUCAUGGUUUGUAUAUGCUUGGCCCAGAGAGUGACACUAUUAGAAGGUGUGGUCCUACUGGA